AUUUGAAGAUGGCAGAGGUAGCGAACAAUUGCGGCAGCGAAAACUUGAAGCGGAAACGCAAACAUGGCUGGAACCCGCAUUCAAAGGAUUGGAAUAAAAUGAGGAAAAUGGAGCCCAGCAAAAGGAAGCGAGAUGCGAAGAAAACUCAGAUUCUCCAGCCUCAAUUACCACAAACCGCCACAGAAAUAUCCUCCAACUGGAAGGCUUUACAAGUGCUCCAGAAUUCAAGACAGUUCAACUUGAAGUUCAAAAAUUCUUAAAAAGAAAUCCUCUGUGGGAUAUUCCUUGAAGAAUGACCUUGAGUGUCAAGAAGAGACUUGGAGCAGAGCAGGGACUGGUUUCUAAUAUCUCCUUACUGCGUCACCCUGCAAAGGUCACAAGAAUACUGCAAAUGAUCACCAAAUUAGGAAGCUGCUGAUUAUCAAACAAAUUCUCCUUGAUGACAACACAGAAAAUAUAGAGACAACAGUGUGGAGAAUAUCAAUGUUGAUGUCAGGGUGUAAAAGGAUUAGGUUAAUUUUGCCCCUUAUUAGGUUGAGGACAAUCAGCAAAAAUUAAGGGGAAAAUUUACACACUUGUUUGAUUACAAGCAGAAACAAAGCUGUUUUUCUUGAGUUUAGGCCAAUUUUCAACAGAAGCAUCCGGAAAAAAGUCACAAUCUAUUUACAUUUGUAUUUUAUACCAUGUACAAGAUACACAGGUAGCCAUGAAGCUUUACACUUUGCACAGAAAACAGUGGGAAAGACAAUUGCAUGAAGCUAGAGUAGAGCCUUCUAAGAAAGCAGUUGUAAAUAGACUUGUUACCUCAAGUCAUAAUAGAUAACAGAGCUACAAAGAUGGUAAAACAGCAGUGCAAUAUGGGAUUGUUUGCAAAGUUGGGGGGCACAGGGUUACCAAGUAACACAAACCUCAUCUAGGCAAUUUUUUAUUGGUGGAGGAGUUGUGCUGGAGACUUUUUAGUCAGUGAAUUCAAAGAGUUUUUCCUGUGCAGGGUUAUUUCCAUUAAAUGUUAGGAAUCAGAGACUUUUUUGGACACAGCAAAGUUAGACAACAACCUCAGUUAUUCCAGUUGAGACAUGCAGCUGUCCAUUUUAUGAUGAGAAAUCAAGUGUAGUCAAUCACAAAUUAGGGCACCACCAGCAAUCAAAUUGAACCUCUAUUUCAUCAAAUUGUCUUCUUAAAGUAACUUAAAAGAAAUUCAAAUAAUUUGGAAAUAAUAGGUUACAGUACCCAACUAAUGUGAUGGUACUGUAGCAAAGUUUAGUCUAAUUGUAUUCUAAACAGGUUGAUUUUGUGCUGAAUAGUUUGCAGAGCAGUAAAAAUUUAACUUGAUUUAAGGACACUAAGAAAGGUGAAUUGAAACAGAAUUCUACUUAAAAUUUCAAAUUACUUUAAACUCUUUGUACUGCAGAGAAGUACAAACUCAACUAAAUUUAAGCACACUAAGAAAGGUAAAUUGAAACAGAAUUCUACCUAAAUUGUUUAAUUACAUUAAACUAUCUGUAAAUAUCAACACAAAAAAUGAGUGAGGGUGCACUGAUGUCAUUGUUUUCUUGUAAAUUGUGAGGUGGUUUUUUUUUUUGCUGCAAUGGCGUGUGUGAAGCUUGUCUUCAUCCACCAUAAAAUUGGAGUCUAGUCAGGCACUUUAUCCAGGCACAAGGGUAUUUAAUACAACAUUUAGUCAUCGACUUUCUUCAGUUUCUUUAGUGGAAUGCAGAAAAAAUAUGCAAAGUCAAGGGACUAGCAAAUACUUGCCAAAAGUGUCCUUGUAGUAGAACUCGGAACUUAGUUCAAUGUUUAACAAAGUAGAAAUUGUUUUGGAUAAUUCAGAUAUUAAAUGAAUGAAAGUUACA